GACGAACGCUGGCGGCGUGCCUAAUACAUGCAAGUCGAACGCUGAAGGAGGAGCUUGCUUCUCUGGAUGAGUUGCGAACGGGUGAGUAACGCGUAGGUAACCUGCCUGGUAGCGGGGGAUAACUAUUGGAAACGAUAGCUAAUACCGCAUAACAGUAGAUAUCGCAUGAUAUCUACUUGAAAGGUGCAAUUGCAUCACUACCAGAUGGACCUGCGUUGUAUUAGCUAGUUGGUGAGGUAACGGCUCACCAAGGCGACGAUACAUAGCCGACCUGAGAGGGUGAUCGGCCACACUGGGACUGAGACACGGCCCAGACUCCUACGGGAGGCAGCAGUAGGGAAUCUUCGGCAAUGGACGGAAGUCUGACCGAGCAACGCCGCGUGAGUGAAGAAGGUUUUCGGAUCGUAAAGCUCUGUUGUAAGAGAAGAACGAGUGUGAGAGUGGAAAGUUCACACUGUGACGGUAUCUUACCAGAAAGGGACGGCUAACUACGUG
rnacentral:rRNA from 1 species